CACGCAGGCGGUUUGUUAAGUCAGAUGUGAAAGCCCCGGGCUCAACCUGGGAACUGCAUUUGAUACUGGCAAACUAGAGUAUGAGAGAGAGAAGUGGAAUUCCACAUGUAGCGGUGAAAUGCGUAGAGAUGUGGAGGAACAUCAGUGGCGAAGGCGACUUCUUGGCUCAAUACUGACGCUCAGGUGCGAAAGCGUGGGGAGCAAACAGGAUUAGAUACCCUGGUAGUCC
rnacentral:rRNA from 1 species